rfam:Triticum aestivum genome assembly, contig: Triticum_aestivum_CS42_TGACv1_scaffold_405292_5BL
GAAAUACUCCCUCCGUUCUAAAAUACUUGUCGGAGAAAUGAAUAAAAAUGGAUGUAUCAUGAACUAAAAUACGUUUAAAUACUCCAUUUCUCUGACAAAUAUUUUUGGACGGAGGGAGUACCAC